ACCUCCGAAGGAGGUUUGAGCCGAGCGUAGCGAGACAACGUUGCUUCAGCAACGGCCCGCAGGGCGCUGCUCGCAGAGCAGAGUAAUCCUCUCUCGCCGACCA
rnacentral:sRNA from 1 species